AACAUGGGACGUUCCAGAUUCUAAGGUUAUUUUCGGAGAAGACGAUGUGGGGAUUGGAGAAAACUCUGGCCGCCCCACUGUUUUAGGAGAUUCAAUCUGAGGCACAUGUGAGGUUUCCUUCAUCACCUCGAGCCUCGUCUUCUCGCCAAGAAUCCUGCAAAAAAAACACGUUGGGAAAUAAUUGAUCGUGAUCUCCCCAUAUUAUCAAAACCUCCUGCACAUCAAUUCGUUCGCUUAUCAAGUUAGGUAAAAACAUCAAUCUCUUUUAAAAUAACCUUUUUUUUUUGUUAAAUAUGGUUAUCUUUCAACGAAUGUCAACGAUGUAAAAUUAUCAGUCACGUUACCUUUUAAUUUGAUAUUAAAGAAGAGAAAUG